UGAAUACGAGAUGCUACGGCGUCGAAGCAGUGUAUGUCAGACUUCCAAGAAAAGCUCGCAAUGUCAUAAAUAAAGAAUGCCUGUACCAUAACCGACACAGGUGGGUAGGUAGAGUAUACUAAGGGGCGCGAGAUAACUCUCUCUAAGGAACUCGGCAAAAUAACUCCGUAACUUCGGGAGAAGGAGUGCCUUCUAUUAGAAGGUUGCAAUAACAAGAUCCAAGCAACUGUUUAUCAAAAACACAGGUCUCCGCUAAGUCGUAAGACGAUGUAUGGGGGCUGACGCCUGCCCAGUGCCAGAAGGUUAAAGAAGUUGGUUAGCUUUGGCGAAGCUGAUGACUGAAGCCCUGGUGAACGGCGGCCGUAACAAUAACGGUCCUAAGGUAGCGAAAUUCCUUGUCGGGUAAGUUCCGACCCGCACGAAAGGCGUAAUGAUUUGGAUACUGUCUCGGAGAGGGACUCGGUGAAAUAGACUUGUCUGUGAAGAUGCGGACUACCUGCACCAGGACAGAAAGACCCUAUGAAGCUUUACUGUAACUUGAAAUUGAAAUUGGACUUUAUUUGCGCAGUAUAGGUGGAAGGCAUUGAGAUUACUCUUGCGGCAGUAGUGGAGCCAUCAGUGAGAUACCACUCCUAUAAUGUUAGAUUUCUAACUUUGGAUCAUGAUCUGGUCAAAGAACAGUUUCAGGCGGGCAGUUUGACUGGGGCGGUCGCCUCCCAAAUGGUAACGGAGGCGUACAAAGGUUUCCUCUGAACGGGUAGAAAUCGUAUCUAGAGUGUAAAGGCAUAAGGAAGCUUGACUGUGAGACCUACAAGUCGAGAAGGGACGAAAGUCGGUCUUAGUGAUCUGACGGUGCUGAGUGGAAAGGCCGUCACUCAACGGAUAAAAGUUACUCUAGGAUAACAGGCUGAUCUCCCCCAAGAGUUCACAUCGACGGGGAGGUUUGGCACCUCGAUGUCGGCUCAUCGCAUCCUGGGGCGGUAGUACGUCCCAAGGGUUGGGCUGUUCGCCCAUGAAAGCGGUACGCGAGCUGGGUUCAGAACGUCGUGAGACAGUUCGGUCCAUAUCCGGUGUAGGCGUUAGAAUAUUGAGAGGAGCCUUCUUUAGUACGAGAGGACCGAGAAGGACAUACCUCUGGUGUACCAGUUAUCGUGCCAACGGUAAACGCUGGGUAGCUAUGUAUGGAGAGGAUAACCGCUGAAAGCAUCUAAGUGGGAAGCCCACCUCAAGAUGAGUAUUCUCAC
rnacentral:rRNA from 1 species